rnacentral:lncRNA from 1 species
AAUAAGCUCUAAAUAAAUUCUUAUUGAUGGAUUGAAACUCCUGUCAUGAUAGAACUGCUGCCUGACUUGCUCUACUGUACUUAACCAUAUGAAAGAGGAACCAAGAUCUAAGCCUCCAAUAAACAUGGGCAACUUUGGAUCCUACAAUCACACAUUUUGAAUUAAAAGAGAUGUUAGAGACCAGUGAGUCCUACCCUUUCAUUCUGAGAAUGAAGAAACGGAGGCACAGAAAUGUUAAUUAAUUUGCUCCAAGUCUCACUACUAAAUUAUCCAAGGUUAAUGGACAACCAGUAUAUUUUUAAAAUAAUGGAGUUACACAAGCAUAAUGAGGGGCAGAAAAUAAUAACCAGGCUGCUUGCAUCACCAACAAAUGUGAAGGUAAGAAGAAAAGGGGAAGAACUGUUAAAAGAUGACUAUAAUAAUCUAAACGUGAGAGCAUGA